rnacentral:ncRNA from 2 species
CUUCUGCAUCAAGAGAUGGGCCUUUUUUUCGGCCCGCGCCAACCUGCCAGACCGGCAAGGUGGUGGUCCAUGAGGACGAUGCGGCCAAUCGGCAAACCGGUCUUCUUGC